AAUAAGUGCAAUUUUACACUAUUCACAUUCAACAUUUAAUCGUUCGUCUUAUUUGAAAAAAAAUUAUGAUUAGUAUUUUUAUUGCUAUUAGAUGAUAAAACAUGAAUAGUACUUUAUGUGUGACUAAAUAUUUUUAAUUUUUUCACAGAUUUUUCAAAUAAGACAGACGAUCAAAUGUUGAGCACGGUUAUCCACGGCUGCACUUAUU
rfam:Oryza sativa (indica cultivar-group) chromosome 5, whole genome shotgun sequence.